CUCCCUUUCAACCUUGUUUAUACAUUUCAAAUUAGCCAUGGGAAAGAAUGUGAUCUUUAUGUUGACGACAAUGCUUUACUUGUUUACGUGUGCUAUUGAUCUCUCAAUAGCUCCACUGAUGAGUAUGCUCUUCUAGCUUUCAAAUUUCAAAUAACUUCUGAUCCAAAUAAAAUCUUAGCCAAGAACUGGUCUCAAGGAAUCUCUUUCUGUAAUUGGAUUGGUGUUACUUGCGAUGAGAGGUACCAAAGAGUGACGGGCUUAAAUCUAGCAAAUAUGGGUCUAUGAGGUACCAUAGCUAAAGAAAUAGGUGAACUCUCUUCUUUAAGAUCCUUGGUUGCUAGCAAUAAUAAUUUUCGUGGUACUAUCCCUGAUGAAAUGGGUAAUUUAAGCCAACUUCGAGAAAUAGAGAUUCAGGACAACGAGCUAAUUGGUUCUAUUCCAUCAAGUUUUGGAUUUCUUGACAAUCUACAGAAGUUAAAUGUCUCAAAUAACAGACUCAGCGGGAAUAUUCCUAAUCUCGGCCUCGACCCAGAACCCCAAGAUGGGGCUCGGCCCGAGCCGGCUCGAGCUUUUUGCAGGCCAAGUCACGAGCGGCACGAGCUCUCGAGCCUUUUUGCCAUCCCUAAGGUCACCCGUGUGGUUGACUCUACCCGAAUGGUAUGAGAAUUAGUUUAAUGGUUGAGUUUAAAUUCGACACUUAAGCUCCCAACAUGCAUCUGAAUAAGUAAAAUUCGGGUAAAUAAAAAGUGGGUAGGGUACAUGAGUGUGGUGAUUUGAUUUUGCCAAAUUAACAUCUCAAAGUUGAUUCUUGGAUUGUGGAUAUUGAACUCUUUCCACUACGAUCAAGUUUCUGACCAAAAAAAUGAAUGCUUGACAGGGCUGUAAACAAGCAACCAAAAUCAAGUAAUUCCACCUCUCAUUUCUUGCAAUUUCAAAUAAGUUCUAAAAUUUAGAACUCAAGCAGAAGCAUGGUAAUAAGUUUUAUAUUGGUAUCAUAGCUUAAGUAGGUUUUUUCUUGCUUAAUGACGUGCUGAAAAUGGCUUUAUAUACUGAAAACGCAUGUAAACUAUUUUUCUUUAAGGUUUGAGUAACUUUAAUGGUAAGUUAUGAAAUAUUUCACAUAGAUUCUUGAAAUUUAUUGUGCAUGUUCAUGUUAGUAUGUAAAACAUGUCUGCAAAAUUUCACUGUAUUUGGUUUUAUAUUUUGAGAGAAAAAUGGAACCCUAAUUUAAGAACUCGAAAUUUCAUAACAUCAUAAUUCCUUGUAUGUUGUGUUACAUGCUAUUUAUUUGGUAUGAUUAGAUAGAUUUUCUUGAGACCUUUUCAAUGGUCUAAAGAUGAUUAAUUUUGGUCUUAAAAUGAAGAAGUCAUAGCCUCCAGAAGUUUGGUUGAUUUUCUGAAAAUUCUACACAUUUUUUGAAGAUGAGCCACAAAAAAAAAUAAAAUAAAAUAAAAUAAAAUAAAAAAUUCCAUCACCCACUCACGGAUCAAUCUGUUGAUGUCUAAAACAUGACCUUAGAAAUUGAUGUUGUAAAAUUUGACUGCACAGAUAAACUCAAAACAUCAAAUUAGUUAAACGGGCUAAACAAAAAAUAAAUAAAAUAAAAUUUGGGUGUCAAGAAGGCGACACGUGCAAUCUGUGAAUGACGGUGCUAAUUUUUUUUUUUUUAAUUUAAAAAAUUAAGAAACUUUGGUGGAUGUGCCGGGUCGGGUGUAGGGCCUAUUUGAAAUUAUGAAAAUUGUAGUUUGGUCCUUGAAAUAUUCUGAAUUUUUUUUUUUUUAAAUCAAGAAUAUUUAUUAAGUGGCACUUGCCUAGUGUGAGUUAAUUUUUGAUAUGCUCUUGGUUUUUUUUAGAAAUUGAACAAAAAACUUUGAAAGCAUUUAAAAUAUCACAUUUUCUACAUUCAUAAGUAGUGAGAGUCUUGAUUAGGUUAUAUAAUCCAUUUUAAUCAGUUUUCAUUUUUUUGCUUAAUCAAAUAAAGCUAGAUUUAUGCACACUUUUAGUAUCCUUAGAGUUGAGAGUUGGAACGUGUUGGAAAAAUUACGUGCUUAUCGAAAUUAUGAAAUAGAUUCACAAUAUUACCUGGUACAAUACAAAAAUCAUCUAGAAGCCAUGUGCUUGGAAGUAAUGAAUUUGAGAGAAUAUAUAUGUGAGGUGAAAAAAAUGCAUCAUCUUAUGAGAACACUUUCCAGCCAAUGGCAGGACAUUGCAUUUGAAAUUUUGGAUAAGUUACCUCCUCUAGCCUCAACUAUCUGAUCAGGAUUUUGAUAAAGAAGUGGAAGAAAGAAAACUAGAACAUCAAGAAAAUUCUCAUAUUUAUGUAUAAUUAGUUAUAGUGAUGCCUUGGUGACUUAAUCAAAUUGUUGUCCAAUAUCAAGGUAAUGCUCUUCUCAUGUCUAGUGGUUGUAUAGAAGAGUAUAAUGCGGUCGAAUGUACAUACUUGACAUCUUCU
rnacentral:lncRNA from 1 species